rnacentral:rRNA from 1 species
CAAAGAACUUUGAAGAGAGAGUUCAAGAGGACGUGAAACCACAAGGGGCGAAACGGAUAGAGUUAACGAAAUCAGUUGUAAUCAGUACAUGGCGCUGCUGAAGUGUAGUCGUUCUGCUUGGGAAACCAAGGCGGCUGCGCUUUUGCUUCGCUGGUGCCUAGUACGCAUUUACAGCUGGUAAUGCCGAUUUCUAUGGCGGCUCCUUCUGAACAUUCAGUGCGGGACCCACAUUAGUGGUGCGCCGUCUGGGUGGAAAGUUGAGUGGCUGCUAUGGAUGUGCAAAGCCUCGCCUUUGCGUCGGUCGUGCGCGUAUAUUAGUCGGUCUAGCUUCCUGGCAUGCCAGAGUGAAACCGGCUGGUUUAUGUGUAUGUGCCUUCGUGGGGCUUGGUAUCGGCGUGAAAGUUGACCACCUAUCCGACCCGUCUUGAAACACGGACCAAGAAGUCUAGUAUAUGCGCGAGUCAUUGGGUGCAAAACCUAUUGGCGAAAUGAAAGUAAAGGCUAGCUUGCUAGCUGAUAUGUGAUCCGUUGAGAAAUCGGCGGCGCAACAUAGCCCCAUGCCAGCUGCUUGCAGCGGUGUGGAGGUAGAGCGUAUAUACUGGGACCCGAAAGAUGGUGAACUAUGCCUGAGCAGGACGAAGCCAGAGGAAACUCUGGUGGAGGUCCGAAGCGGUUCUGACGUGCAAAUCGAUCGUCUGACUUGGGUAUAGGGGCGAAAGACUAAUCGAACCAUC